rnacentral:rRNA from 1 species
GAUCAACGCUGGCGGCGUGCUUAACACAUGCGAGUCGAACGAAGUUUUUCUUUCGGGAGGAACUUAGUGGCGGACGGGUGAGUAACGCGUGGGUAACCUGCCCUGUACAGGGGGACAACAGCUGGAAACGGCUGCUAAUACCGCAUAAGCCCUUAGCACUGCAUGGUGCAUAGGGAAAAGGAGCAAUCCGGUACAGGAUGGACCCGCGUCUGAUUAGCCAGUUGGCAGGGUAACGGCCUACCAAAGCGACGAUCAGUAGCCGAUCUGAGAGGAUGUACGGCCACAUUGGGACUGAGACACGGCCCAGACUCCUACGGGAGGCAGCAGUGGGGAAUAUUGCACAAUGGAGGAAACUCUGAUGCAGCGACGCCGCGUGAGUGAAGAAGUAUUUCGGUAUGUAAAGCUCUAUCAGCAGGAAAGAAAAUGACGGUACCUGACUAAGAAGCACCGGCUAAAUACGUG